AAAAACUCUGAAGACAAGAAAUCUGAAAACUGCCUAAUCGCAUGCACUGAACCUGAGCUAAAAUGAAUAAAACAGCCGCAGAAUUGAAGGUGAAAGGCCCAAGGUCUCAGGGCUCUUUUUCCUGAGCACCAUCGCCAUUCCUCCGAACGAGAUCCUCUUUCAGGUCCUUCAACAACCAUCUUACCUUUGUCCUCCCCAGAACGCCCUAUGAGGAGGGACCCCCAAACUCAGGCGCUGCCUACAGACCCGGAGAAGCCCCGUGGAAGCCGCCAUCUUCCGGCACGCACCCAAGACUCCGCCCUUCUGAAGGCAAUGAAGCCCAACCACUGCUAAGGAUUUAUAUCCCACCCUUCCUCCCAGCACGAACCCUUAUGGCGACCCUAUGAAUCAGCGACCUUCUGGCGACCCUAUGAAUCAGCGACCUCCAAGAGCAUCUGUCAUGAGCCACCCUGUUCAGAUCUUUCAAGUUCAGAUGUAUUUAUUCUGAAGGAGGAGAAGGAGGAUGCUUUCCUACUAAACCAGGCUGGACAAGAUCUUCUUCCAAAAGGAACUGAGGACCAUUUCAGACAUUACACAAAGAAAAACCCAGGUUGGCCACAUUUGGACUAUACAUUUAAAGCACUAUUUUACCACUUUAAAUAGUCAUGGGUUCCCCCAAAGAAUCCUGAGAAUUAUAACUUGUUAGGGGUGCUGAGAGUUGUUAUGAGACCCCGAGUUCCCCUUACAGAGUUAUAAUGUCCCAAACUCCCUAGGAAGAGGGAUUGAUUGUUAAACCAUGAUUUGUUGAAGUUGUAUAACCCUUCUUUAUGGUGUCGAUGUUGCCAGAGUGUAUUCUCUCUCCCCCCGCUCCCACUUUUUUGGUGCCAUUCACAGUUCCCUGAUGUGUAUGCCUGAGCACUUGCAAACAUCUGUUACAUUCACAUUUUACAUAUGUGAAUGGUACACCAAAAAAUGUCAAGUGGCUGUGGAAGGAAAAUGUUUAGAAUUAAUAUUGGACUGUAACUCCUCAGAGUUAAUAGGGAAAGUGAGCACAGGCAAAUGGAGGAAGGGAGCGGCUGAGAGACAGAGACAGCUUUAAGGAAAAGGAGGCAGAGUGUUGAAUGCAUGGUUAGGGGAAUUCCUUUUUUAUGCUUACCGGCAGUGAGCUGUCAAUGGGAGCAGAGAGGCCCCUUCCAUCUGUCACUUGGCAAUUAGAUUCUCUCUGGUAUUACAGAGACUUGGCGGACACACCAUACAUGUAAAGCACCCCCGCCAAGAGUCCUGCAAAUUGUAGUUUACCCCUCAGAGCUCCCAGUACCCUUAAUAACUCCAAGUACCCUUAACAAACUAAAGUGCACACAAAAAGGUAGGGCGAUAACAAAUCUAUCUGGCCUUGAAAGGGGGAAAAACACAAAGAAAUAUUUGAAACACUUUUGCCAACCCCUUCAGCUACCUGCCCCUCCUAAAAAAAACCCCACGACACUGCAUUAUUGGGGGGUGAGAGUAUGAAGGAAUUAAUGCUGUCUGAAACCUGCACUUUCAUUUUUACAUUAAUAUGUUACAUCUGUUUCAAUCCCACGCUCCCUUGCACUUCAAAUAUAGCAACAUCUUUUACCUCAGCCACCUGGUAUGACAACCUUGGUGUGCCUCCUCUUCCUACCCAGCACAACAGUUCCAAAGUGGUUGUUGUGGUUGGUGGCGAGGAGGUUGCAAAAGCCUGAAGGGAAACUACCAGGGACAUUUCCACACAGCAGUUUAUUGUGGGCGUUGCUCAUGCAUGCAAGCUAUGUGCAGCAUCUACGUAAUAGCAUCCUCAUCAAAAUGUCAUCCAUAUUAUUUCC